GUCCCUUUGGGGACAUCUGGUAAAAUUGAAAUGAUACAGAGAAUAUUAGCAUGGCCCCUGUGCAAGGAUGACACGCACAAAUCGAGAAAUGGUCCAAAAAUUU